GUCCACGCCCUAAACGAUGGGUACUAGACGUCGGGAAGCUUGUCUUCUUGGUGUCGCAGCUAACGCAAUAAGUACCCCGCCUGGGGAGUACGGUCGCAAGAUUAAAACUCAAAGGAAUUGACGGGGCCCGCACAAGCGGUGGAGCAUGUGGUUCAAUUCGAUGCAACGCGAAAAACCUUACCUGCCCUUGACAUCUGGGGAAUCCUGCAGAGAUGCGGGAGUGCCGCAAGGAAUCCCAAGACAGGUGCUGCAUGGCUGUCGU
rnacentral:rRNA from 1 species